GGGUGUAAAAAGUUUUGAUCCACCUCUCGUGAAAAAGACAAAUUUCCGUCGAUUCAGCUAGAAGCGGGUCAAAUUCGAACUACAGGUGCCUCAUAGCUUGCUAUUUAUUUUUUCCAAAAAUCAUUUCUAGGUACAUAAGUAUCUAUUUAAUCAGAGAAACACCAAAAAAAUUCCAAGAUUCAACCACUAUCUAGGAACGGUCAUUCCCGCUGUUUUGACCGCAUUUUGAAACGGGCAUAAAAAAUUCAAAAAAAAUCAAAAAAUUGGGAAACCUUCGCAUUGUGUCAUUAUAUGUGGCCAAGUUCCUAGGAAAAAUAACAAACUUUUAAUACAACAAUUAUUUUAAAAAAAUGUUCUCAGAAACGAGCUAUCAUGUGUGGAGAUCAAUGGCUUUCAAGCCAAAUGAUCAAUCUUAUGGUCACAUUCAUGGCAUAGUUUGUUCAAAUGAUCUCAUAUUGUGCACAAGGGUGCAUACUGGAAUGGCAAACAAUGUUGCCUAAGGAAGUUUUCAUUUUCUUUGGACGAAAAAACCAUUUUCCAUUUUUCCAGUGCCUAAAAGAAGGUUUUUUUGUGAAGGACCUCCAAAAUAUUUGUUGCAAAAUUGGACCAAAUCAUUUUUCAAAAAUACUAGGACAUAUUCUAUGCAUAGUUGACAAAAUGGUUGGGUGUAAAAAGGUUUGAUCCACUUCUCGUGAAAAAGACAAAUUUCCGUCGAUUCAGAUGGAAGCGGGUCAAAUUUGAACUGCAGGUGCCUCAUAGUUUGCUAUUUAUUUUUUCCAAAAAUCAUUUCUAGGUACAUAAGUAUCUAUUUAAUCAGAGAAACACCAAAAAAAAUUCCAUGAUUCAACCACUAGCUAGGAACGGUCAUUCCCGUUGUUUUGA
rnacentral:lncRNA from 1 species